GGCGGCGUAGCCAAGUGGUAAGGCAGAGGUCUGCAAAACCUCUAUACGGCGGUUCGAUUCCGCCCGCCGCCU
rnacentral:tRNA from 1 species